AUCAUUUCAUUGAAAGAAAAACUCAUAGCACCAGCCAUGGCAGCUCACGGCCAGCUGGGCUUUGAAGGAAAAAAAUUAAAUUAAAUUCCCAAAGGUGUUCUAAACAUUCAAGGGAGGCAGAAACAUUAGGAUUUAAAUUGAGGAAGAAGAAGUGGUGCAAUUGGUGCAAGUGAUUGUAGGAUCUGUCCUAAUUAAAUUAAGGUUGAGGUGCUUUGGGUAGCGUAUACAUAUCGAAUCACGGAUUAAGCAUCAAAGGUACAGACACUCGGUUUGGUGAUCCUCCAGCUUAGGAAUUCUGCUCAGCUGUUUUGGAGAGCUCCAUUGUUCCGGAGCCUAGAUUAUUUUGGUACAGAUCUUUUGAUGUCGACUUAUGCAUAUCCAGGGGUACGGCGGGGCCCUGUCCCGUCAUAUUUCACUUGUACACUCUUAGAGGUCUGUAGACAUAUGUGGGUUGUAUCUGACUGUGUCGAUAUGGUUUGUUUUGGAUAUUCCAGUAUAUAGUGGCAGCUUUGUCGGCUUGCGUAUUGUGUUAUGCUGUGGUUAGCCGUGCCUCCUCAGGAGACAGGUUUAUGAUAUGUGGCGUUAUGAAUCUUUCGUUUGUUUUUACAAGUUUCCAUAUUGUCCUUAGUUUCAGUCUGACUAUAUCUAGCAGGUUCGUAUAUGAGUGUCCAGUUCGGGCACUAGUCAUGGCCCAUGGGGUUGGGUCGUGACAUUGGUACUCUUUAGGAUCCACUCCCUCUCAAAAGUAGCACCUUCGCCUUGAAGGAACGACGGGAAUUGACGACAGGCUCGAUUAGGCAUCCCAUAAAAUGUCCCAUACCUUGUCGGGGAGCAACCUUCUCCAUCCACUGCUGAUCAAUUAUCUCUUUGGUCAUCGACGUCCCGGCUGGCUGACUGACACAAUAUUCACCAAAGUGUUGUUGAAACUCGGUUUGAAGUUGAAGGAUACAAUGUUAGUAGCUAAAUUUAGUAAAAAAAAAAAAGUAGUUAUUAUUGUUAGUUAGUGACUUACAUUGGUUUGCUGAACCCUUGGCUCAAUCCAUUACUCUGUACCAUCAACGUUCUUCGUCUU